rnacentral:misc_RNA from 1 species
AGCAGCCGCGGUAAUUCCAGCUCCAAUAGCGUAUAUUAAAGUUGUUGCAGUUAAAAGCUCGUAGUUGAAUUUUGGGUUUGGCCGAUUGGUCCGUUCUUGUAGCGAGUACUGGUCGGUUGAGCCUCACCGCUUGGGGAAGCGUAAUGUCCUUUAUUGGGUGUUGCGAAUAUCCAAGACCUUUACCUUGAAAAAUUAGAGUGUUUAAAGCAGGCAUAUGCCAGAAUACAUUAGCAUGGAAUAAUAGAAUAGGACAAUGAUUCUAUUUUGUUGGUUUCUAGGACCGUUGUAAUGAUUAAUAGGGAUAGUUGGGGGCAUUAGUAUUCAAUUGUCAGAGGUGAAAUUCUUGGAUUUAUUGAAGACUAACUACUGCGAAAGCA